GCAUAUCAAUAAGCGGAGGAAAAGAAACCAACCGGGAUUGCCUCAGUAACGGCGAGUGAAGCGGCAAGAGCUCAAAUUUGAAAUCUGGCCCCCUCGGGGUCCGAGUUGUAAUUUGCAGAGGAUGCUUCGGGUGCGGCCCCCGUCUAAGUGCCCUGGAACGGGCCGUCAUAGAGGGUGAGAAUCCCGUCUGGGACGGGGUGUCCGCGUCCGUGUGAAGCUCCUUCGACGAGUCGAGUUGUUUGGGAAUGCAGCUCUAAAUGGGUGGUAAAUUUCAUCUAAAGCUAAAUACUGGCCGGAGACCGAUAGCGCACAAGUAGAGUGAUCGAAAGAUGAAAAGCACUUUGAAAAGAGAGUUAAAAAGCACGUGAAAUUGUUGAAAGGGAAGCGCUUGCGACCAGACUCGCCCGCGGGGUUCAGCCGGCAUUCGUGCCGGUGUACUUCCCCGCGGGCGGGCCAGCGUCGGUUUGGGCGGCCGGUCAAAGGCCCCCGGAAUGUAGUGCCCCUACGGGGGCACCUUAUAGCCGGGGGUGCAAUGCGGCCAGCCUGGACCGAGGAACGCGCUUCGGCACGGACGCUGGCAUAAUGGUUGCAAACGACCCGUCUUGAAACACGGACCAAGGAGUCUAACAUCUACGCGAGUGUUCGGGUGUCAAACCCGUGCGCGCAGUGAAAGCGAACGGAGGUGGGAGCCCCCCCGCGGGGCGCACCAUCGACCGAUCCUGAUGUCUUCGGAUGGAUUUGAGUAAGAGCGUAAAUGUGGGGACCCGAAAGAUGGUGAACUAUGCCUGAAUAGGGCGAAGCCAGAGGAAACUCUGGUGGAGGCUCGCAGCGGUUCUGACGUGCAAAUCGAUCGUCAAAUUUGGGUAUAGGGGCGAAAGACUAAUCGAACCAUCUGGUAGCUGGUUCCUGCGA
rnacentral:rRNA from 1 species